GACGAACGCUGGCGGCGUGCUUAACACAUGCAAGUCGAACGGAAAGGCCCUGCUUUUGUGGGGUGCUUGAGUGGCGAACGGGUGAGUAACACGUGAGUAACCUGCCCUUGACUUUGGGAUAACUUCAGGAAACUGGGGCUAAUACCGGAUAGGAGCUCCUGCUGCAUGGUGGGGGUUGGAAAGUUUCGGCGGUUGGGGAUGGACUCGCGGCUUAUCAGCUUGGUGGUGGGGUAGUGGCUUACCAAGGCUUUGACGGGUAGCCGGCCUGAGAGGGUGACCGGCCACAUUGGGACUGAGAUACGGCCCAGACUCCUACGGGAGGCAGCAGUGGGGAAUAUUGCACAAUGGGCGGAAGCCUGAUGCAGCAACGCCGCGUGCGGGAUGACGGCCUUCGGGUUGUAAACCGCUUUCGCCUGUGACGAAGCGUGAGUGACGGUAAUGGGUAAAGAAGCACCGGCUAACUACGUG
rnacentral:rRNA from 1 species